rnacentral:lncRNA from 1 species
UGUUGUUGUCACACUCAACACGGUGUUGUCACACCUAGUGUGGUGUUGUCACACCCAACGUUAUCACACUCAACAUGUUGUUAUCACACUCAACACGGUGUUAUCACACCCAUCAUGUUGUUGUCACACUCAACACGGUGUUGUCACACCCAGUGUAGCACUGCUACACCCAACACAGUAUUGUUGUUACACUCCAUGCAGCGUUGCUACACCCAGCACAGUGUUGUCACACCCAAAGAAGUGUUGUCACACCCAACACAGUGUUGUUACACCCAGCACAGUGUUUUCACACCCAACACAGCAUUGUUACACCCAACACAGUGUUGUUACACUCAAUGUAGCACUGUGACACCCAGCAUGGUGUCAUCACACCCAGCACAGUGUUGUCACACCCAAAGAAGUGUUGUCACACCCAACAUAGCACUGUCACACCCAAUGGGUUGCUGUCAACCCCAACGUAGCACUGUUACACCCAAUGUGUUUUCACACCCAACACAGCAUUGUUACAAUCAAUGUAGCACUGCUACACCCAACACAGUAUUGUUGUUACACUCCAUGCAGCGUUGCUACACCCAGCACAGUGUUGUCACACCCAAAGAAGUGUUGUCACACCCAACACAGUGUUGUUACACCCAGCACAGUGUUUUCACACCCAACACAGCAUUGUUACACCCAACACAGUGUUGUUACACUCAAUGUAGCACUGUGACACCCAGCAUGGUGUCAUCACACCCAGCACAGUGUUGUUACACCCAAAGAAGUGUUGUCACACCCAACAUAGCAUUGUCACACUCAGUGUAGCAUUGUCACACCCAACACAGCAUUGUUACACUCAAUGUCUGUGGCACUGUUACACCCAACAUGGUGUCCUUACACCCAACGUGGCACUGUUACACCCAACACAGCGUUGUUACACUCAGUGUAGCACUGUUACACCCAACACGGUGUCAUCACACCCAACACGGCGUUGUCACACCUGAGGCACCACUGUUACACCCCACGUAGGACUGUCACACAACGGCACAGCGUUGUCACACCUGACACAGUGUUGUCACACCCAACGCAGUGUUGUUACACCCAACAUGGGGUUGUCACACCCAAUACAGCACUGUUACACCCAAAGUCUUGUUGUUGUCACACCCAGCACAGCACUGCUACACCCAACACAGCGCCGUUACACUCGGGUGUAGCACUGUCACACCCAACACGGUGUUCUCCCACCCAACACACCCGACGCAGCACUGUUACACCCAGUGGAGGUUUGUCACGUCCAACGCAGUGUUGUUACACCCAGUGCACCAUUGUCACACCCAACACGGUGUUGUCACACCCAAUGCAGCGUCAUCAAACCCGACACAGCACCGUUACACCCAACGCAGCGUUGUCACACACAGUGCAGCACCGCUACACCCGACACAGUGUCACGGUGUCACACCUGGUGCAGCACUGUUACACCCAGUGGAGGUUUGUACACCAACACAGCGUCGUUACACUCAACACAGCACUGUUACACCAAACAUGGUGAUGUUACACCCAACAUGGCAUUGUUACACCCAGUGUAGUGUUGUCACACCCAACAUGGCAUUGUUACACCCAACAUGGAGCAUUGUUACACCCAACACGGUGUCCUUACACCUAACGUGGCAUUGUCACACCCAAUGUGGCAUUGUUACACCCAACGUGGCAUUGUUACACCUGACAUGGCAUUGUUACACCCAACAUGGCAUUGUUACACCCCACAUGGUAUUGUUACACCCGUCGUAGUGUUGUCACACCCAACACGGUGUCCUUACACCCAUCA